UUUUUUUUUGGUUCUUUUUUUUUUCGGAGCUGGGGACCGAACCCAGGGCCUUGCGCUUCCUAAGCAAUCGCUCUACCACUGAGCUAAAUCCCCAACCCUGUUUUCUUUCUUUCUUUUUUUUUUUUUUUUGGUUCUUUUUUUCGGAGCUGGGGACCAAACCCAGGGCCUUGCGCUUCCUAGGCAUGCGCUCUACCACUGAGCUAAAUCCCCCACCCAGGCCUUCCUGUUAUCCAGCUACUAUGGCCUCCACACCUCUGAAAUGCUAAACAUGGGGAUGUGAGUUUUGAUCCCAGCAUUCGGGAGGCAGAGGCAGGCUGAUAUCUGUGAGUUUGAGUCCAGCCUGGUCUACAGAGUGAGCUCCAGAAAUACGCAGGGAGAGGCCCUGCCUUAAGACAAAACAAACAAAAAUAAAUAAAUAAAUAAAAAAUAGAAACGAAUGUCUCCGGAGUUAGCCAAGUUGUUCUGCACACGGCCUUUAACACACUUUGCCCAUUCUGCCUGGGACAUUACUCCUCAUUGCCCAGGUCCCAGCCUCCUCAGAGGUGACUCUGGCCAUGUCCUCAGCAGAUCUCCUGGUGCCUCAUCUCUUUAUGCGUAUCUCUUGUAAGGCAUAAGCUGGCCUGGCCUGCUCAUCUUUCAGAUACCUCAUUAAGCAGCUCCGGAUAAGCGUGUCUGUGGACUAAAGGAUGGAUGAGGCUCCAGUGUUUUUCUAGGAGGCUCUGGGUGUAAGUCAGCCUCUCAUUCCCAUUGCCCUUAGAAACCAGCACUCUGAGGAGCACUGGUCAUAGCUCUGGAUGCUCUCACCUCUUCCUCCAUAGAAAGCUGCACGGUGACUUGCGUCUCCAGCACAAGCUUGUGUCGCUGUUGAACCUGACUUCUGCACCACCCGCAUAUCCAUCCCGCGGGGCUCAGCUUCUUCAGGAGUGAGGCCCACAGAGUGGUGCUGACCCCAUUCAGGGUGGAUCUUCCUACCUCGGCUAAACCUUUCCGGAAACAUCUGUCAUGAAGAGAGUGUGCUCGAAGUUCUAAGGUGCCAUCGCAUUGACGGUGAAGAUGGCUCAUGUCUAAAUGCCUUGUGAGGCGCUGCUGGGCUGACCUCAUCCUGACUGGGCAUCACCGCCUGCCUGAGUUCAGACCACUUCACCUGGGGGACCAUGGCAGCUCUCCCCAGCUCCCCUCACGCUUCAUACAGGAAGUGGGAGCCUCUGCACGCAGGUGAUGGAUUGGCACAGUUCUAGGACAACUGAUGGCCCAGCGGCGGCUGGCUUAUCUGGAAGGAUGCAGCCUCCAUCCCAUAAACAAACCGAGUGCUACCUGGAUCCUCACUGGGCCUGCCCGAAGUCCCUUUCUAUCCUGGACUGGGGAAAUGAAUUGCUGAGUCACCGACUACAUUUUCCUGAGGUAUGGGCCUGUCCUAGUUCCCGCUCCAUACUGUGGAGCCCCCACCACAUUCCCGGCUGGCAGACCCUCCUUCUUUACUUCCGUGGCGACUGCGGGAGAUGUCUAUCUACAAAACCUUUGUCCUUUGAAAGCCACACACCAGCCGCACUUGAGAUCAAAACAGCUUCCUUCACCCAGACUGAGAGGUCUGUGACACAGCUGGAGGGCCUUUGAAGCAGACAGCUCGCCACAUGGGGAACAAGGGUAUCUAGCAAUAGAGAACAGAACCGGAGCCUCUCUGGUGUUUCCAGAUAGGUUUCAGGAAAAGGUGUGACUGCUGCUCUGAGGGGUCUGCAGAGUACAAGGCCUGGCACCCAGGGAUGCUCAUUCUCGGGGGAGGGGAGCAGAGAGGUGGCUCAGUGAAUGAAGGCUCUUGCUGCCCAGGGCAUGAUAGAUCCCAGGUUGAUGAUCUGAGCUCAGUUUCUGGGAGUAGAAGGACAGAUUGACCAAAUAAAGUUGCCCUCAAACCUCUGCGCACAGAACACGGCCUGUAUCCCCCUCCCAUGGUAAUCAUUAACAGUUUUAAAACAGGGCUGGAGAGAUGGAGCAGUGAUUAAGUGCGCUUGUUACCCUCGCAGAGAACUCGAUUUAGGUUCCUAAAACCCAUGCCAUGGAGCUCACAACUGCUUGUAACGCCCAUACAGAGAUGCCUUUGUCUGGACUCUGGCGUACCUACUCUAGUGUUUCUCUCUCUCUCUCUCUCUCUCUCUCUCUCUCUCUCUCUCUCUCUCUCACACACACACACACACACACACACACACACACACACUCACUCAGUCAUGUUCAAACAAGCCAGUAACAGUCUUCAUAAGGAAUCCAGUGCAGAUGGCCUCUUUGUGAGCCCUAUGGGUCUCAGUCCUACGUUAAGCAUCCUGAAUACAAAUGCUGCCUCUCGGGGGACAGACAGACCCUCCCUUGGUGAUACGAGUAAGCAUCUUCAGGGAGCGAGCGUCGGACACAGAGAGGGGUGGACCUCUGCCUGGCCUUCUAGAAGCUCCCGCCGAGUCAGAAAGACAAGCUGUCCACAGUCCCACUGCUGAUAAGGGUUAAAUGGCGCUCGAUACAACAUUCGCAUAGUCAAGGCAGCACCUGAUUAAUUGCCCGGGGAAUGGCUCGGAUGAUAAAUGUUUUAGGAACUCCGAGGAAGGAGCCAUUUCUCCAAGUCAAGCAGAACAGACAGACGCAACGGGGGUAAUUGUGCCCUUUUGAAGGGGCCUGUGGGGCUGCUGUCUGGGGAGGCCAUUGUCCCAUGGUGGAGACAGAAAAGAGCCCUUUUAAUUUUUUUUUUUAAAGGACCAUCUGAUACUCCAUUGGUUUCUCUCUGCUUACCUCUCCCCACGCACUCUAGGAAAUAAGAGGCCACAAAAACUCACGAUUCCUUUCUUUUCUACCUCCGUAAACCUCUCAUCUGCUUCUCCCCUCUUGAAAAUGGGGCUGGAAUUCAGUGUUUACAGUAUAGACCCAAAGGAUGAAGGUGGCGGUGUCAAGCCCCCGAAGUAGCCAGGGUAUCUCUAUCUUGGGAAAUGGCUCCCUGUCACACUACAAAACACACCCUUCUCAGGGAAGUGAUAAGACUGACAAGUGUUUAGACUUUGCCCCAAAUUUUCAAGAGGCUGAAGCAGAGAUACUUCUCGGAAGCUCUCGGGCCCUGGCUUGAAUUCGCUCCGGGUAUCUAUUGAGCAAACAGCCUUUCAUCACUGCCUGAACCAUGAUCCGAGUCACAGACGCCCACGGCUUUAUCUCAUCAGAUCUCAAUCUCUCUGUGAGGGAGGCUGUCUGACUGGCUAGAAACUCCAGGCCUGGAUGGGAAGAUGUCACAUUUUGAGAUAGUGGGGGAUUAGAGGGUAUGUGUGUGGGGAGGGGGGAGAAGCCAACAUGGACAAAUGCUAACAACCCUUCAUGGGCUGUGAUGGGCAGGUGCAGCUGCCUCCCAGCCCAGUGGGGUCAGCUCCAGGCUCUCCUGUCUGGGGCAGCAGGGAAGCCGAUGGCUGGUGAUGGAUCACAGAGCUGUCAUCUGCAGGGACUGAAUGGUGAUGUCACAGCUGGGGAGGGGGCUUCUGGAGCUGGGAGAAGCCCAGAGAGAAGUACAUUGGAUUGGACGCUGGAUUUGCCACAUGGUGUCUUCUCUCUCUUUCCUUCCGCACCCCCUCUUUUAUUGCUCAAAGCUAAGAAACUUGAAUCCCCCCAACGUGCACCCCCCCGUGAAAAAUCUAACAUCUGAACAAACAUAGCCUUCAGGAUAGCUAAAGCACGCCACAACAGCCAGCCCUGAGCUGACACAGUCUUACAUGGAUACUGGGGGAUGUUGCUAGGAUGCUCCCAUGGAGUUAAAAGCCAGGCUUCUUGGGGGCCAGAAUUGGUGACAUGUCCUACAGAGAGUCACACCGCUAAGCUAGGGGUGUGACACCUGGUCUCUCAGUUCCUCCCCUCUAAAUGGGGGUGCGGUGAGGAAGACUAUAAACAGUACAUGCCAAGGGUAGGAGGUGCAUCCCCCCUCCCCCGCCCCUGCCAGGGCAAGCUCAGAGCCCCAGCUGUGGGCAGAUGAGAAUGCCUAGGCAAAGCCGUUCUCAUCCUGGGAGCUCUCCUUGUGAUGAGAGGCCCUUGUAUUUUUCUCAGUCCUCUCUAGAGCAGGAGAGGGCAGGUGCUUGGGAGGAGACAGCAUAGAUCACUUGCUUAGAGGUCCAGGGCUACAGGAGAAUGAGGUAAGCAGCAUCAGGGGCUGCAGAGGGCCUAUGGGAGCAUGGUCAAGCCAAGGGAGUGAAUGACAGUUUCCAGUUUAAACACAGUGAUGGUGUCUUGGAGGUAACAACACUCACCCAUUUACAGGGCAGGAUCCCAGCCAGGAGGGAACAGAGGCAAGAGAGAAGGGGGCUGGGGAGUCUGUUUUAUUUUAAAUGAUAAACCAAGUUCUAUAUGCUGACCCUCAAGGAUGAUGGGUUUUCUGCAGAGUAGGUCUUAUGGAAACUAGAUCACCAAAUAUUUCAUCAUUGUUUGAAUUCUUGGGGGAAACAAUAUCUCACGACACCCCACCCCAACACCCGUCCCCAGUAUACAAUACCAUCAGGACAGAAAGCUGGAGGAAUUUGGGAGGGGGUGAAACUUCCAGAGACCCUGGAGUUCCUGGACAGGAUGUACUCCACCCACCACUUCUGUGACUUGGGUGUCCCCAGCAGGAAGACCAGGAACAGCCACAAGUUUGUCCCACUGUCACUGUUGAUAAGGCUGCUCCUUGUAGAGACUCCUGCCUUUGCCCCUGCUUCUGUGAUGGAGUCCAGGCUCAGAAUCCCGGCCUCUGAACAAAGGGAAGGGAUAAGCAUAGCCUCUCAAUUGAGGUGCCCGUAGGAUAUCACCAGGUCCACACGCUCACUGGGUAGCAAUACCCUGCAACUCCUCUCAUUGACACCGUGCCUUCUAGAAUGACACCCUGCAUCUUUCUAAGGGGAACCUUCUUAGGACUCUCAGGGUCUCCCCUCAGCUAGUCCACUUUCCAUAGGAGCACCACACAGAUCAUGAAGAUCACACACACACACACACACACACACACACACACACACACACCCUGAGUUCAGGCCAGGCACGGCACCAGGCGCUCAAAGGAUGUCUUGUGUCACUUUCAUGAAGGUAGAUCUCCCUUCAGUAGAUCAGGAAACAGGAUCGGGGAGUGGAAGAGGAUGGUGACAGUUAAUCCUAGUUGUCAUCUCUGAGGGAGUCGAUGAGGGAUUGUUUAGAUGUGGCUGGCUGGGGUAGGAAGAGUCAUCCUGAAUGUGGGCAGCACCAUCUCAUGGGUUGGGGGUCUCAAACUGAAUAGAAAGGAGACAGUGAGUCAAGCAGCAGGCACGUCUCCAUCAAUGUCCUGACCGCAGACACAGCGUGACCAGCUUCUUCGGGCUCCCACUGCCAUGAUUUUUCAGCCAUGAUGGACUGUAUCCUGGAACCAUAAGCUGAAAUAAACUCUUCUUUCUUUAA